rnacentral:tRNA from 1 species
GUAUAAUUAAUUGCAGAUUAAUUGGUAAAAUCAUUUUGAAUAAUUUUAAUUUGUU